GCGCCUCCCGCAGCCAGUUAUGCCAGCCUGGACCGAACUCUUUUCGGAGGAAGGUAGCUUUCUGCGCCCCCCCACCCAGCUCCCAAAGUGAGGAGGAGUUGAGGCGUACUGAAAUGCAUGGAGGGCCAGUGGAGUUUGCAGAAUUCCCUCCCGGGCCGCUCCAUUCUGGUCGUUAUGAAGAUUUAAUGAAUUGAUGCUGGUAAAGCGUCUACGACGUAAUCCAUAGUCAGCCCUCCACGUGGUCGCUCCCUCUUAGGCGGUUGUGAAAUGCACCGUGAGAGCGUGGCUUGCACCGAGGCCGGCCCACCCCUCCCUCAUUUCGGACACGCUGUGCAAAGGAUAGGCAGGUGCAGCGCCACGGCCCCGCCGUCCCCGGCCACCCUUGCAGAGUGCAUGCUAGGCAAGCGUGGGGACACACGCGCACACAUUAUUUUAUUAUUUUCAUCUUUUCCGGUUCUGAUCCAACACAAGAACGGCCUCCAGCCACGGAAGAGCUGAGGGCCGUUCUGUUUCCUCUCCCGCCUCUUCUGUCUCAGCCAGGUCUUUCCAACGCUAGCGUUGGCGAAUCCGGCCCCGGUGUGCUCCGAGAGAAAGGGAAAGCAUUUCAGAUUUGCUGGGUUUUCACAUGGGUUUGUACUGUGUCACUUUAUAAAUGCCAAGUAGGUAACAGGAGGGGACAGGCAAUCAGUAGUCUGUAGGAGCCAGUAAGAAAAUUCCUAUUUCAGGGAAGUUGGUGUCCCAUGUCCGGUGGAGAAAGCCCCCACUAAUUUUUAUCCUGGACUGCAGAGAAAAAGCAAGACUUCAGUGCUGUCCAGCCCACCAUCCUAUGAGGUGCAGCUCAACUCAGACGGACGUUUGGGACGCAGUUUCAGAACUCACUCUUCCUCAGCCGGCCGCUUCCCUCGCUCAUCGCUUAGUCUCUGUGAAUCAUCCUGCCAGGAUCCUGCCUGAAAUUACUAAUGAGAGAUCGUGAACUGCCUGCUAAGCGCCCACGGUCAUGACUGAGACAGGCCAGUCCCUUCGCGGGUGCUGGGACAUCACGCCAAGUUAAUGCUUCAGCCCUCACCAAGAGACCGCAGGUGACAAGGCACGUGCGCAUUUACGUGUACGAUGAGGGUGGGGUGGUGGAGCCCUCAGAAAGGCCUUGGCUGGUUUCUCUGUACUGAAAAAUGCAAAACUCUGUCAAAUGUAUCCAAGAGUCAUAUCGUUGUGUGCUUCAAAGCUUCAGCCAAACCUGGGAGUGAGCCCUAGACCCUAGCUCUUGAUUGUGGAAACUCGUAGACCUACUUCCCACAUCUGUCGAAGCGACAGUUCAGGACGGGCCUCCCAGCGAAGCUGAUGAUUCAUGGAAAUGGGGGCGAUAACCACAGCCGAUGCGUGCGGUGGCUGUGGGAAUAAGGCGCACACAGUUCUUAAUGCGGUAAUGGGCUCGGUCAACCCCACCUCGUAGCGCGACUGUAUUGCACACCUUGGUUUUUGCAAACUGUAUACGAGACAGGCCACUUAGAUGUCGCAAUUGUUAUACUUGUGUUCAACUCAAUAGUGUAAUUUCGACUCAGGGAACUGUGUAAUUAGAUAAAGCCAAAGGCAGAUUAGUAAAAAAAAAUAAAUAAAUAAAAACGAUUAGUAGCCAGACAAA